AGUGGGAUAGUUUAAUAGUAGAACAGUUGUCUCCAAAGCAUCUAGUAUCAGUGCAAUUCUGGUUCCCGCUG
rnacentral:tRNA from 1 species